UUUUUUUUUUUUUUUUUGUAAUCUGUAUCAUGAGCUGCAAAAUUAUAGGUUAUUUUGUCUUUUUUAAACCAUGUGCUAAAAUAGAUGAGCUUCUCUUUUUCUUUUUCUUUUUUAAAUAAAAGUGGUAUUCAAAAUCAAGAGAUAGUUGGAAUCUUUAAAUGGUGAAAUCCAAAUCGACUUGUGUUUAAGGAUAGGUUAGAAUAAAAUGCUAAGAAAUAACCGAUGGAGCUAUUCUAUAAAUGGGUAACAAACUCGUGUUGAAGGUUAAAAAAUACAUAUUUAUAGAAUCAUUUUUUUCAUAUUCGGAAGAAAAAAGCUGGACCUACUGUAAAAGUUCAAAAACGAUAAUCCAUUUCUUAAAUUGCAUAUUUUUUAUGAAGAAAGUUUAUCCUUUUGCCAAAAAAAAAAAAAAUGUUUACAUAGAGAUCCCUUUUUUUUUCGCAAAACAGAAGGACCCUCUGACCAUUCUAACUCAAAAUACAACCGGGCAGCAGCUUGCAAGGGAGUGCAAGGUUCCCUUGUACCAUUCGUGUGGCAGUAGUUGGUGGUGGGAUAGCCAAAAGACCAAAACACCACCAAUUGAGUCAGCCGAAAGACCAAAAUACCCCUCAACUGAAGCAUGCUUUCUUAUCCAAGAUGAUUGGUCUUUCAUGUUAUCGUUUGUCAAUCUAGGAAUAUCUUUUUCGCAGGAAAAUUAGGAAAGAAUAGUAGUUUGGGAAGGAGACAAAAAAAACGUAAAAAAGAGGGAGUUGUUCCCUUGACUUUGGAGAGUAACAUAUCUGCUUGAGGGGAGACUAUCUAUCCAUCCGUCGUUUGUUCUUUUGGCCAAGGAGCGGAAGGCUUUUUUUUUUCUCUUUUGAUUUUUCGAACGUUCAUGUACUCAACGAUGAGCAACUAAUUUCCUCUCUCUAAUUUGGUUUAACUACAACUGUGAAAUCUUAUUAUUUUUAUUUAUUUUUUUAUUCAUUAAUAUUCAAUGUUUCUGAUUUAAUUUCUUAUGAUUAUUUUGUUAUGUAAAUAUCAUGGGUCUGAUAUUUGAAUUAACCUAAUAAUCAAAUAUCAUAUUAAUUAAUUAAAUCUGUAAUUGUUUGAUUGGUUAAUAUUAGUGACGACUAACGUGAUUAAUUUCAUGUUAGAGAAACAUAUGAUCUAAUUUAAAUAAACCUUGGUUGUGAAUUUAUUGAUUAGAAUAGGAUUUUUCUAGUUUUUAAUACAAUGAAAAAAUUAAAUUCUACGGACGUACCUAGAGUUUUUUUUUAUUAGAAAAGUAAUUAAUGGGCGUGACUUAACUAUCGACACAGUAAGAAAAAUCUGAUGACAAAGCCAUUUGUCAUCACUUAUUUGGCAAUUAUAACCUGCUUGUUAACGAAUAAAUGAAAUAGUUAUUGCAUCAAAUGAACAGUUGUGUGUACCACUUACGAAGUUUCCUUCUUCGCUAGAGUUUGCUUAUUAUUAAAUUAAUUUAAAUUUUCUUUCGUUUGAUUGCUUUUAGUUAAAUUGAUCUUUUUAUUUCAAUAUUUUAAAACACCCAUUUAAUUCUUGUUUGGAAGGAAAUAAAAUUCAGGCCUGUUUGACAAGUGAGUUUUUUGGGUGUUUGUCUAAAACUUUACUAUAGUUUAUUGUAGAAGUUUUUAAAAAAAAUUUUGAAGUAUGUAAAUUUUUGAAUAUUUUGAAAUGUAUAAUUUAAAAACUUUAAAAAUUUUUUUAAAGUUACUGUAGCUAAAUUUUUUAAAAAACUUAUAGCAGAUAAACUUGACAAAAAAUUCAAGUGCCAAACCGGGCCUCAGUUCUUGAGAAAACGAUCCUACUCACCGUGUACUUGAAAUUAAAAUUUUAGAAUAUAAAUUUUAAUUUCGGUGAUUUGAUACCCAUCAUAGCAUGGUCAGAUGUUCUGUUCUAGAAGAAUAGAAAAGACUAGACAAUCAAACGAGCACUCAAUUUCAACAAAUUGAUUACGAUUGUUCUGGUAACAAUCAAGCUAUGUCAGCAGUUAUUGAAGGCAAGUCAUAAUGUGAGCAGCCAGAAGAAACAAUUGAAAGGGAUCGUUCUAGGGUAGGUACGCUUUGACCGUGCGCCUACCGUGGGAACGUGCUCAGAGAUGGACACAUGUACUGAUCACUAAUGUAGUGGACCUUGUAGAGGAAAAUUGUCAUUAGAAGUCAGGUUAUUAUCAUUUUACUCCUUAAACUAUAUUACUAUUAUCAAUUUAUCUUAUUAUGUUAUCUUUUAGUCAUUUCACCUAGGGGUGGCAAUUUUCGACACGACCUGAAAACAAAACACGAACCUAACACGAAAUUAAUGGGUUUGGGUUGAGGUUUCGGGAAUUCGGGUCAGAAUCGGGUUGGACCCGAUGAACCCGAAAAGAAAACAGGUCGAUUUCGGGUCAACCCGUGGUGACCUGAUAUGACCCGAUAUGACCCAUUAACGAAUUAAAAAUAAUUUAAUAAACAUAAAAAUAAUUUAAUCUAACUAAACUAAGUUAUUCUUUUUUUCAAAGGCAUUAAUUACUUAAUUCUAAAUGAAUUUAUUUAAUUUGUGUGAAGUUGAAAUUAUUAUAUUUGGACAAAUAAUAUAUUAUAUUAUUUUUUACUUUUAUGCUGUUUUAAUUUAUUUUAUAUUUUGUUUGGGAUAAAACACUUUUACGGUAUUUAAUUUAUUUUAGAUUUGGUUUGGAAUUAUUUAUUUAAAUUUUUAUUACUUGAUUAUGUAAUUAGUUUUAUGAGAAAUUGAUUUUAUUAGAAAUUACAGUGAUAAAUUAAUAAAUUAAAAUUAAGUUUCGGGUCAUUUCGGGUCGACCCGCCAACCUGAAAUUUUCGGGUUCGGGUCAGCAUACCUGACCCGUCACGGGUUGGCGGGUCGGGUUCGGGUCGACAGAUUUUCUGACGGGUUGACCCGAACCCAACUCGCCAACCUGAUUUGGACCCGAAUUGCCACCCCUAAUUUCACCUUAUAGAAAAUUCAACUGUUGAUAAAUUUUUGAUAAAAAUAUCUUUUAUUUUAUAGUAUUACUAUAUUGUUAUUAUCACUUUAUCCCUUUAAAUUAUAGUGAUGUAGUCGCUUUACUAUCUUCUAGAUGUUUUACCCUAUCAUUAAUCUAAAAAAUAUGUUAAAAUAUGGUUAAAUGUAUUUAUUUUUUAUAUAUAAUUAAAAAUAAAAAGUUGAAAUAAUUAUUCUUCCUUUUUUUCACUCUAAGAUUCCAAAAACAUAAAAAUAAAAAUGUAUUCUCAAAUUUCUUUUUUCACACUUAUUAUACUUGAAAAAGAAAAGUAGAUAGGACAGAAGUAGACAAAAAUUAGAUUUUGCAAAGAAAAAAAAUAAAAAAAUCUAAUACUAUCGUAUUACUUUAAUGUCUUAGGGAUUAGGAUUGAAAUUGGGUAAUAAACAGAAAAAUAAAUUAAUUUUAAAAUAAUAAAAUUAUUGAAUUCUUUCUUGUUUGUAUUAAAAAAAGAAGUGAGCUCUCUCUCUCGCCACUCUAAAUUUUUUUUUUAUAUAAAAAAAUGAGGGUACUAUUUUCUAAAGUUUUUUAACUUGUUAAAUUGGUUUAAUGGUGGAAUAAAUUGACUAAAAAAUAAUUUUAUGGGGUAAAUUCAUAAUAAGAUUAUAAUUUAUGGGGAUAAAGUGAUAUUAAUUUUAAAAGUUAAACAUGUCUUAUCAUUUGAAUUAAUAAAUCGUUAAGUUUAAUCGUUAGCUUUGGAAGUAAAAUGACUAAAAAAUAACGUUAAAGAGAAAAUUGAUAGUGACGCCAAAUGUUAAGGAGAUACCGAGAUAGGAAGGAUUGAGUGAUAAUAACCCUUAGAAGUCACACGCGCAUGCCCAACUCGGGGUGGGUCGUGUGGUGUGUUGCUCCUCUUUAGGAUAUGGCCACCAAGGAUCGAGUUUCAAAAUUAAUGUGUUCGAGAGGAAUGGGUCUCUCUUUUCGGGCCGCAGGAGAUUAGUCGGGUCGAAAGUCCAGAUACUCCUGUGUAAAAAAAAAGAAAAAAAAAGUCACGCCCAUGAAUUGAGUGCAAGAACCAAUGGAUUUCGAGGACAGUAAACUGCAAUAAAACAUGUCUGGUGGCGGGGAGGAUGUACAUGUGCCUCUUUAAGUACAAUGAAAUACCGCCUUCUUUCUCUGAUGGGAGCCUUUUCUCUCUUGGAGAAAGAGCUUUUCUCUACUUAGGUAGGAGUUUCAAACUCUCAAAAAAACCUCAAAUUCAAAAUCCUUCAAAAGUUCAAGACCCUUCAAAAUUCAAGAACCAAUUGGACACCCAGAUCUGCUACAAUUUCAGCGAACAAGAAACAUUAAGGCAAACGACACGGUAGAUCUGGUGAGGCUGCCAUCAAAACAGAAGAAAUACAACCACAAAGGGAACAUAUGGAGAAAAGAUGAAUUAAUGGCAAACAAAAAGGACCACAAGCACUAAGAGAGAGAGCCAGGAAACCACUAUCAUGGGACGGACCACGGGCAGGAACGGUUGCUAGCGGUUUUGUGCAUUUUACACACCGCGUAAUUUUGUUUGCAUAUGGCGUAACUUUAUUUGCACAACGUGUAACUUUAAAACAAAAUUUUGUGAGUCUCACACACGUUAUAAGAAUCAAUGUAUAAAAAAGUGAUCUAGAUCUUAUAAUUUUUUGUGACCAAAUCUUGGCUCUUAACUGCUCCUCUUCUAGAUGAUCGCUCCUGCCCCUCAUCCAUCACGGGACAUGUGGAAGACUGAUUCAGCUCACAUAAAAAAAUCCCUCGGGUAAUUGGUCUUGAAUCCUUGGCUGCUUUCUCUUCAUUUAUUCCUGCAUUUAUGACUCUUUUAGCUUCUGUCAGUCUACUAGUUGGACAUGAGUUCUCUUCCUAACUUUUCCUUUAGAAUUCUAGAAGAGUUACCUAGGUUCUGUCAGUAUAGUUGGUUUUGAUCUACCUUUUCGUCUUAGUUGUCCUAACAUACUCCCAAUAGUCCUGCCCUAGCUGGAGUACAGGAAGUUCUGCUCCUCUUUUUGCAGAUUUGGUUAGCUCCCAACACUGAGUGCUUAGGCUGAAAUUCCCACUAGUAUCCUAAUCAAAAUGGCAGAUAAGAUAUAAUGCAGAAAUUUGCUCUAAACAACAUGGAAUCUGUCGGAACUGAUCUAGACAGUGGGGAUCUGAGACCUGGACUUGUUGAAAGGUAAACAUUCUUCAAUUGAGAUAAAAGUAUUCGAGGAAAAGAAAAGGAAAAAGAUGAAAAACGUUCCACUUGUUUCUUGCAGCCAAAAAGAAGAGGUGCCUAAUGACUGCUAACUCGUCUUCUGCUUGGAGAGAGAGAGAAUAAAGAAAACGAUAAUGCCUGUCCCUUUUUUUCAUUUCCUACUAACACUGAACUACUCCUAAUUCAAAUCAAAUUGUUCCAACUAUGUUAACGAAAAGGAAGAGUCAACAUAGACAAAAUAGUCUAGCUUUCUAGUAGGGAUAAAAUAUUUUAUCCCUGUGGUGGAACAUCUGAUUCAUAUGACUUCAACUCGCGACUGGAUAUUACGCGCCAGCUCUUGAGUUUUCCGGAUGUGCAUAAUUUUUAACUUUGACGUGCUUACACCGGACAACAAGUUGAGUAAAUAAUCACGCUUUUUUAUUAUUUUUUUGUUCCAAAUCCCUACAAUCGACAAUAAUUAUCAAAAAUAAAUAGAAUAUACCAAUUAACUCAAUAUUUGAUAAAAUAAAAGAGAUAAAUCAUUAUGAAAUUAAUAACAAAAAUGCAACGUAUCAAUAAUAGGGAAAGUGAAAGGGGAGAAAACGGGGAACUACACAGACAUGAAAAUUUUUGUGGUUAGUGUGUGGAACUACCCAAAGGACCCUGGAGUGGCAGAACUGGGACCAAACCUAUUCCAAUUUACAAUCCCGGAUGAGAAAUGAAGAACAAGGAUACUCACAGGGGGACCAUGGAUCUUGCACAAUCAAAUCCUAGAACUCAAUGAGUGGUAUAAAGGAAUUGAGGAGGAUGAAACUACAUUUCAUGUUGCACCAUUGUGGAUACAAGUUUGGAACUUGUGUCUACACUGAAUUUUCAUGAGGUCAAGGACGUGAUCAUCCCCCAAACAAGUGGGAAGGAAGGGAGACACUUAAAGUUGCUGGCUCUGGUGGACAUCUCCCAAUUACUGAUGAGAGGAACCACUGUCAGAAUGAAUGGAAUAAUCAAAUGGGCAAAAUUUAAAUAUGAAAGAUGCCCAGACUUUUGUUACCAUUGUGGGAUUACAGGACAUAGUGAGAGGACUUUGCAAGGUACACAUGAAUAUCCAACAUGAACAGCAGGAAAACCAAUAUGGUCCAUGGAUGAGAGCUUCAAAUGAAAGGGUGUCACCUCAGAAAGAGACAAUAGUGAACAACUAUGGCUCGAACAAGGUUCACCGGGGAGUACAAAAUGGGGAAUUAGUCAAGAGAGACAUGAGGAAUGCAACAACUAGCAAGAUGAGGCCCAGCAGUCAUGAGCGGGUCCCUUCAUGACUGCUCAAAUUUCUAAAACCACUUAAAGACAAGCAAUAAAAUGGACCCUUUAUGACUAUCCUAAUUUCUAAUAUUAAUACCAAAAAAAGAUAAACAACAAAAGGGUCCAUUUACGGCUUUCUUGGACCCGUGGCAAUAAUUCUUUAAUUUUCUCCCCCUCAAAUUCUAGAAUCUCCAUUGUUUGACCAAAUUUUAAAGUAAUUGCUGGAAAAUAAAUGUAAUUUGUAGUUCACAUAUGGUAGGUCUCUUUUUUAAAAAAAAAUUUAUUUACAAAAACUUGUGUAAGUUCGAUUUGCAGUCUAUUUAUCGACUAUAUAACAUAUAAUAUAUGCAAUAAUCACAUGAAUUUUCUGACUUUUAUCAUCCUUCAUUCAUCAUCAAUUCUCUUACACAACCUUACUCAAAGUGACCAUUGCAUAUAGCACAUUAUAUGCAAGAACAUCCACAAGCAUAUUCGUUCAACCAAGUCUAAACAAGUUUAUUUAAAAACAAUAACAAGAAUUGUAACUCAAUAAUACUACAAACUAAUCGAAACUUAACUUGCAAUUGGGUUUGAUGAUAUGGUGGAAAGGAUUGUAAAUAGGAGAUCAUUAGUUAUAGACCUCUCACUUACAAAAAAAAAAAUUAAAAUGGUGUAAUGAAUAUGAAGAUAUAAUAAACAUAUGAAUUUUUUUAAGCAAAUUUCAAAAUAAUAGCUUCCACCAAUUAACAAGUCUAUUAUUUAAAUUACUAGGAGAGGAAUGCCUGCGCAUCGCGGGAGUAUUUGGUACUUGUGGUUAAAGAAGAUUUUUCAUUGGACAAAUAAUAAUACAUUUUGAAAAGAAACAGUUAUGAAAUAUGACAAAAAAAAGUUUGGAAUUCAUUGUCCAGUUCUAAAGAAGCUAGAGUCUGAUACUUUAUAUAUAUAAAACGUGUUCAACACCAACAUAUAGUUUGAGUAUUUGUCCGCGCAUCACACUUAUGAAGUCCUAAAGGGCAGAAGAAUAAACUAUGAAGAAAUACCUUGGAAUCUGGGACACCCUCAAGAGUCUCCUUCUCUAAUAAAAGCGCAACAAAUCCAACAAUAUUCUUUGCUUUCCUAUAUGUUUCAACAGCUUAACAGUUCACCAAACAAUUGACUUCCGCCAUUUCUAACAUAUGUAGUUUACAAUAUUUUUUUUCCUUUUUCACGGCUCAACUAACAAUUGCCUUCCAAUCUACGAAAGUAAGAAAAAAUACAAAGAGCAAAACAAGUAGUCAUGGGGUGAGAUUCUUGCCAGCUAGGUAGUAGUAAAUUUUGUAGAACCAUCAGAUCCCUAGGCCAUCAUGGUUACCCUCACCGUUCUUCCUGCCUUUGUCCAAGUUCAUUUGCAGCAUCACUCCAUCCUCUGUUCCUUCUCUUCCCCAUUGCAACUGCUAAACACAGCAAGUCAAGUUUCAUUAGAAACAAAAGAAAAUAGAUGUGAUCAAACAAAAACAAAAAGUAAUAUAGUAGAUUAAAUGAUUAGGUUUGGUGGAUUUUGGGCUUAUGUUCGGUGCAUUCAAAUGUUUCUACUAUAGGCAAUUUGAGACUUUGUGGCGGCGGUGAUAGGGUGUUAAUUGUUGGUUAUUUUAUUGUUAAUUUUUUCCUUUAUUCUUACCAAAUAUUGUUUUAAUUAUUAAUAUUUACUUAUAUUUGGUAUUGGACUCAAUUUCAGGAAGUGAAACAGAAAACUACAAAAAUGAGGGACUUUUUGGAGAUAAUUGGGAUUUCAAACAACCGGGCCCACAUGGUGCUACAAAGAGAUUGUAUUUCCUUUGCUGAUUAGGAGAUUGGAGUCCUACGGGCAAUAGGAAACUAAAAGCAAGGAAUUCGGUAGAGCCCCACCUUUGGUUUGAUUCUCAAUUCCAGCGGGGACCACAGGGAUAAGAAGCUUUAGUCAUUGUUGGCUUUAAAAAGGAGACAAACGUACAGAGAACUCUGAUCAAUCAAUAGUUUUAGUUUAGGCUUUUAGCAUAGUUUUAGUUUUUCUUUUCUUAGCUUUUUCGCAUGGUUGUUCUCCAUUAAUGAAGGACUAACCUCUUAAUUCUAGUCAAGGGGACAACUGAAGACUUGGUUCAACAAUUACUGUGAGAUCGAAAUUAUUUUAAUCGCUUCCUCAUUUAUUGGUAUUCAUGUGUUUCCUGUUUUUAAUUGUUAUAGUCCUUAUGUAUGAUUGAUUAGUGCGCAAUAAUUAAUUAUUCAUAUAGGUUAUUUUGCUAAAUAGAGGUAAUUGAAUCCGUAAUUGUUCGUUAUCUCUAUCUUAGUAGCAACUGGCGUAAUUGGGUUUAUGUCAGGGGAGCAUACGAUCUAGUUUAAACAAACCCUCGUAGCGUGCCCACGCCAGAGGGAAAGAAAUUUUCGUUCAAGAUCUGCGGACUCUAUAGCAGUUAGACGUGCCCACGCUAGGUGGUCACGCUAACGGAUCGAGAAUUUUCGUCGGAUGGUCAAAAGACUAGGGAGCGGUUAGGCAUGCCCAAGCCUAAGCUAGAGAUUCUUUGAAAAAAAAAAUUAAAAAUUUUAUAUUGAGAAAAUUCAAAAACUCAAAAAAAAAAAACAUUUUUUCUUCUUCUUCAAAAAUUCAAAUUUUGGAAUUUCAAAUUCAGGAAAAAAUUUGGAAAAAACAUUGAGAAAAAAAAACCCAAAAACUAUUUUUUUUUUCCUCUUUUUCUUUUUCUCUUUUCUUUCUUUCUUUCUCUUUUAUUCCUCUUUUUCCUCGCUUCCUUCUUCUUCUUCUUUUCUUUUCUUCUUCGACCGAGACCCAAGCCACAGCGCGCCGCAUGCCGCCUGAGCUCAACGCUGCCGCGCCGUCGCGCGCAGCCUCCCCUGCGCAACCUCCACCAGCUCCACUCUCUUGACCACCUCCACCUCAGCUCAACCUCUACCAGCUCGCCAUCGCCGCCGCCGUCCAGCCCUGAGCUCCACCGCACGGUCGCUCCCACCACUGCAGCAGAUCCAGCUCAGCCGCCUGCCCACGCCCCACAGCCCAGCGCCGCAACAGCUUGCUGCUGCCUCCAACCCCACACGACACACAGCGCCCGAACUGCCAUCGCCGAUCGCCGCCAGUCUCCCAGCUCCCCCUCUGCGCUCUCUCCACUUCGUGAACCAGCCGCACUUAAGCUCACCUCCACCAGCUCUCCCUCGCACGCCACUAGCUGCUCCGCUGCUCGCUCCAUUCCCACCUGUCCAAAUUGACAGGUGGAGGUAUUGAACCUUCAACUUCGAUUAGUAUUUUUUUUUUCUUUUUUUUUCUUCUGGUUCUGCUUUUGCUAGAUUUUGCGCUUGUGUGUCUGGGUUUCUUGUUGGAUAACAGAGAGGGUUGUUGUGGGCAUUUUCUAGGGUGAAUUUUGGACAGAUUUGGGUCUAAUUGCUACCAUAUGUGGGGAUAUUUUCUGAUAUUUGUUGAAUUGUUGGCCGUCUGACCUUCCCUAUGUGUAUACCAGUGGUACUGGUUGGAGUGUUUUGUUUACAUUCAUUGAUUUUAUGUGGUCGCCUGUCUGAUUGCGAGCUAAUGACCUUGUACUUCUGUUGUUGUUCGCAAUUUCACCUGUGGUUGCUGAAAUUGCCAAUUUCUGGGGUCAUUUGCUACUUUUCACAGGUUGGAUUUCUUGUUGGAUCCAAGAGGGUGAUAAUUUGGGCAUUUUCUAGGGUCAAUUUUGGGACAAAAUUACGUUUAUUUGCUGCUUUGUUUGGGGAUAUUUUCUGGCAUCGAUUACAUUAUUGAGUUGGCCAUUUGCUUUAGUUUUUCCCUGUGACUCACCAGUGGUACUGGUUGAGAUUUUUGGCCUAUCGUUGUGGCUCCUAUUUGAAGAUUCUUGCUUAUUUGAAAGUUUAAGUUCUUGUGAUUGGGUUGCUGCCGUUGAAUUUAAUUCUUUCCUGUCUAUGCACCAGUGGUACUGGUUGCAAUGUUGCUUUCCAUUUCUUAAUCCUCUGUGCUGGACUGCCUAUUCGAUUCUUGAGUUUUGGUGCCUGAACCAUUUCUGAAGUGUACCCUUGGCUAGAGUUUUCCCUUAAUUAUUUCUCUUAAUCAAUUAUUUCCUGCAGUUAAUUUAUUUAGUUAGUAUUUAAUCCAAAAACCCCCCAUACUUUGGACUCUAGAAGAAACGAAUUAUCCCCAGUCCCUGUGGAUUCGACCCUACUCACCGCUAUAUAUAAAAUCUGUAUUUUUCUCGAGUAGGUAUUUAUUAUUGCACAGGUUCGGCACCUGUCAGGCGGUGUGGUGCCUUUGUAAACCAAAAGGAACAAAAUUAAGACACCCACAAAGAGGAGAAGACUUACGAACAACCAGAGUCUCAAAUUUAAAGAUGUGAGCUGACACCGCUGCUACACACCAGAAAAACCAACCACAUAAACAACAGAAUUAAGGAACAAAACUUAUCUCAAGCUAAACCACCACAAAUAGUUGUAAUUGAAGACCAUUCUUGAAUGCUGAGUAUAAAGGGAAAAAAAAAUCCCAAUCCCAGAAGCAGGGGAGAAUCUAAAGAGUGUGAAAGAGAAGGCAUUGGAACAACCAUAACCGAUACUCAGACAUUAAUUCAUUAACAUACCCACGUUUAUGGCUGUUAAAUUGAGAUGUAAAUGACAGAAAAAAUGGGUUGUUUCUGACGUGAGCUUUAACAUCUUUGGGAGUUGCGCAAGUGAUCGGACAUAAGUUGUUUCAAAUAAAGAAAUAUCCUCAAACAGUUAUUUUUGCCUCAAAAGUUACACUUCAAUUAAAUGUGUCUAUAAUACCAUUUCAGUAUUUCUACAACAUAUAAGUUUAUAUGUGUUGUACUCUAUGCAAAAACGGUUGCAAAAUAAUUACACAUUCCACAAAUACCCAGUUGUCUUCAUAAAUCAAAACUUUAAAUGUAUUAAAAUGAGGACAUUUUGGUAAACAUGCCUAAACACAUGCUGUUCUCAGUUGUACCAAAAUUUUUAAAAAAACUACACAACAUUCCACAUUCUCAAAAAGUUCUAUUCAUCCAGUUGAAAUUCAAAACCUCUUUUAACCACAACUCAUUCUUAUAUAGUAUAAGGAUAUCUCAUUCAAUUUUUUUAUGACGUCACAAGGAAAAAGAGAAAAGAAUUGGUCACAAAUAUUUUUUUAAUCGAUAUUGAGUCAUAAAUCUUGAACAAUGUGUGGAUGAACAGAAUCUGCCUUUUUUUUCUUAAAAACAUAAAAAAGGGAAAAAGAAAUCAUAACAGCAGUGUUUUGAAAAUCGAAACAGACCGGCCGGUUUGAUGGGUUGAACCUCGAAUCAGCCAUGACAGUGGUCCAUUCUAUACUAAAGUUGAAAGCGUCAAAUAACUUAUCAAAAUUGGUCAAACUCAUCAAAACCGGUAAAUCUAGUCGAACCGGUGAUUCUCGAUUUUUCAAAGGAUUGAACUUGGACCUUUUCUAUUAAAGCCUAGCAUGGUAACCAGUGCACAAUCACAUCCAAUUAGUCUCUUUUGAGAACACAUUUAUGUAAAACAAACUUUCAUCUUUCUUUCCUCUGUUUUUUUUUUACAAAAUUUUAUUCUCUCAUGACUCUUUUCUUUUUAGUCUUCAACUCUCUUUCUCUAUCUCCUCUUUUCUUUUGUCACCCCUUUUUUAAUCCAACCUUUUUAGUUUUAAUUUAUUGAUAUUUUUUUCCAUCUUUUGUUUUUGUCUAUUAAUUAAAAAAAUUAAAAAAGAAUUGUUAUUCUUUAACCUUAAAAACUGAUUAUUAAAUGCCACAACCACUCACUUUUAUCUCAUUUUUUUUUUCUUCUUAUCAAGUUUGCAUCUCUAUUUUCAAUUCUCCUGACUUUCUUCAAACUCCAAAAUUCUUUUUUUUUUUAAGUUGCAAUUUCUAAAUUCCAAAAACGUGAAUUAAAAUUUAAACUCACAAUGUCUAAUUCUCAUAGACGUGAGUUUUAUAUAAUUUCAAAAUACUGUGGUAUUUUUAGAUUGGAUUUAAGAUUAUUUUUUUGGUAGAUAUAAUUGAGAUUGAGAUGACAUUUAUUUGUUUCUACUCAUAAUUUAAAAAUUUUAUUUUUGAAAAUCCAAAUUCUUUGAAAAUAUUAAAUUUUUUAUCAUAUAAAGUUUUAAAUUAGUCCACUGCAUGUCUUAUUUUGUGUAUAUAUAUUUAUAUAAAUUAUUUUGUAAAAAAUUCAUUGAACCGGUCCGACCGAUUGAAUCUUGACCCGAAUACCUCACCUGUUCAAUUAACGGUUUGAGUUUUAAAAUAUUGCACAGGAGUUAGAGGGAUGAAUAUUGAGGUGAUGAAGUAGAGGUGAUAAGAACAUACCAUAUUUCCCAAAGGCUCCAAGAUAUUGAGGCAUAACACUUGGUAAGGUGUCGUCAGAGAUAUUAUUAUUCUUGGUUUGGGCUUCUUUAUGCAGGGUUGACAUCUCUUUGAAGACUCAUGGAGCAGCUUGUAAGGGUUUCCUCUGAAACCCUUGUUCUUUUAGAAGUUUCUCGAGCUUCCUCGGCCUAAACCAUACCCAGUUCAAUGCUUGCCAUGACACUACUACUACUAGAAGAAGAAGAAGAAGAAGACAAGAAGAAUAUACAGUAAACAUUGACACAUAGAUGGUUUCCAUCAUGUGUUUUUGUUUUGUUGGUUUUCUUGUGAGAUUUCUACCUCUGUUGUGUGUAUAUUUACAUUGGAGUGGGGGCUAUGCAUCCAUUUACUUCAAGACAAAGGAAAUGAUUAAGAAAUAAAAGAGAUGAUAAUUAUCGAAAGUGAAGGGAGAAAAUUUGACCUAGAUGAUGUUCCUAUGUGGCUAUGAUACAUCAGGUGGAGCCUAUUCCCAAAUUUUGGAUUUUAGAGCAAUUAUCCGGUGCAGAUAAAGCUGGAUCCUAUAAAUUUGAAACUUGUUACUAAAGUCAAAUUUUUUUGUUCCAUGUUCUUUAAAACUCUGAACAUUUAUUUUUCUUUUCCUUUUUUCUUGGGAUCACAAAAAAAACUGAGUAUUUGUUUCAUCAAACUAAAGAACCCUUAUAAAGUAAUCUUAGUAUAUAUAAAACCUCGUGUCUAAGCUACGCUAACUUGUAAUAAUGUUUGAUGAAUUUUCAUCUCUUUUGUCAACUAUUCUUGUUCCAUAAUUUAUAGUGGUCGUCGGGGAUGACAAGUAGAUUUUUAAAAAAAAAAAUCACAAAAGAAGUAAGAAUGUAUGAAAUAUUGUUUGCUUUUAGGAUAAUAAGAAGUUGACCCAAAACUAACAGAAAAUGCGUUGCAAAAUCGCCGCCAGCACGUCCUUGCUAGUCCGGGUACAUGCUGAAUGAGAUCAUUGUCCAAACAAGCAGCACAGCAAUGGUCUCGAGCCCAGAAAAAUACAACGCCUUGCACUCCUCAAUAACUUCUCUUGUAAUUGUUCAAAAUUUCAUCAUGUCCAAGUUCCAAAGGAGAUCGACUUACCACUAAGAAAUAUUUUUUUAAUACUAGCUAAUAAAAUUUAUAGAGUCUACUAAUUAAUGUUUGAGAACAGCUGUUAAAUGAUUUUUAAGCCAUGACAAGCCAUUUGUUUUCUCGAUUAUCAAAGAAAAAGGAAAGAUCUCUUGCAAAAUCAAACCAAUAGAUGCAAUAUUUCUCUCUUCAUUCGCCGUGAGAAAAACAUUAGCAUUCUGUUUCAAUGCAUAGUAUCCAAAUCUUCAUUCUCUUGCAAAAUCUGUACUGCUAUAUUCAAACAGAUUCAUUGACAUAUCAUAUUGGGCGAGACUUGAACUAGUUUACAAGCAAAGUUAAGCAUAGAAACAAAAACUAUAUCUUCUGCAAAAUCAAGUGAGCUCCAGACUGGGGUUGAACUAGUGCUGUAGCUGUUCCAGGAGCAUGAGUAUAAGACGGUGAGAGUUCAAAGGAGAAGCGUUGCAGAAUCAUAGACAUUGCCAAUUUUGCUUCCAACAUGGCAAAAUUUUGUCCAAUGCAAAUGCGAGGUCCCCAGCCAAAUGGAAAGUAUGCAACCUGGCCCUUUGUUGCAUGUGAUACUCCUUCAGCAAACCUCUCAGGCUUGAAUUCCUUCACAUCCUCGCCCCAUUUAUCAGGGUCAUGAUGCAUCAGCACUAUUGGUAAGGUGAGUUGCACUCCAGCCGGGAGAGUUAAAUUUCCUAAUUUAGUUUCUUCAAUAGUUCUUCGACUCAUUGUAGCCAAUGGUGGACACAACCUUAAAACCUCAUGCAAGAUCAUGGUGACCUAUAUAUGGGAAGGGGACCCAAAACAAACAAAAAAAAAAAAGAAAAAAAAGGUGUGAGAUAGAGUAAUUAGGAUGUCUAUGCAGAUGAGAAGCUUCGACGAACUUCGUUAAUUAGCAUGUCUCUCCUGCCAUUAGUGCAAUUUUGCAAAUCAAUGAAAUGAUCAUUGCUAAUUUUAUGUUUUUCAAAGAAAAAGAUUGGCUUACAAUUUUGAGGUGAUUUAGCCCAUCAAAGUCCGGAUCCUUAGUUCCAAAUUGUUGCAAGACCUCCUCUCUAGCACGUGCCUGCCAUUCGGGGUACCUGCAGAGUAAGACCAUUGUCCAGACAAGUAGCGCUGAAGUAGUCUCCUGGCCAGCAAAAUAGAACACCUUGCACUCACCAACAAUUUCUUCGGUAGUCAUACCAGAGUCCUUAUUUCCAUGCUUCUCGAUUUCUUGAGAAUUGGAUUGAAGCAUUAAUCCCAACAAGUCAUCAGAGCCGGCUUCUCCUGCUCUCAUUGCCUUUCUUCUUGUGUUGAUCAUUUCCCUUACUGAACCAUUAACUUCUCUGGCAAUUUGUUUCAUUCUUCUGUUCCUCUUGGUUGGCAAGAACCUAACAAAGAUCACAGUUUAGGAAAAAAAAAAAAAAAAAGCAAGAACAAACUAUGUUUGCAACAAUGGUUUUGGCUCCAUUUUUAAAUCACUUAGGCGUAUCUCAAAUGUUAAAAUUCCCAUCUAAGGCAGUCUUUCAUGAUUAUUGUCCAAUCAUGAUUUUCAAACCAUUGAUUUCUAGCAGUCACAAUUUUCUACAGCACUCAAGAAUUCAUGAUCAAUCUACCUAAAUCCUGGGAUGUUGAUGUACACCGACCGUGCUGCCUGCAUCAAAUGCUCAGUUUGCUCUCUCUGCAGCUCAAAGAUCCUUCUUCCUUCUUCAUAGUUGCUGCCAAAUGCUGUACGAGAAAUUGCAUCGCUGGAAAGAGCUUGAAGAUUGGGCCAAACAUCAACUUCAGCCAACCCCUUUGGUGAAACAACAUUCUCCCAUUUCGUCACCAUCUCACUUGCACUUUUAUAAAAGGCUGGGAGCAUAAGCUGUUUAUCCAUAAAAGAAAAGAAAAUCAGUGAAAGAAACUACUCCAUACUGAAGGCUACUUAGUAAAUAAAUGAUGCAAUUUACUAAGGACUGUCCAAUACAGAGAGUGUUUUCAAUUUUAGGAUAUCAUAAAUGUGUGUGUGUGAAUUUAUAUGAUAAUUUUACUAUAAUUUACUCGCACUAAAGAGUAUUUAUAGGUCAUCCGUUCAAAAAAAAAGAUUAAUCUUUUCUACACUGUUAGUGUAUACACAGAUGGAGUUAGAUGAAUACCACAUCAUAUGAAUUUGAAACGCCAUAAAAUGAUUAAAUUACAGAGAAGAGAACCUUCAAUUUCUCAACGUGGAAAGCUGGGUUGAGGAGCUUUCUCUGUUUGGCCCAUUUUUCUCCCUCAUAUCUGCCGAGUGGAUUAACACGGAGCUUCCGGAAAACAUCAACCUUUUGUGUAACGGCCUUUAUUAGAUUAGGGUCCAUGAUCACCACGACAGGUCUCGGCCCAAACCAUAAAUAUGUAGGAUUAGGGGCCCAAAACUGGAAAGUAUAAAUAGUUAAAUGCCUUCCACUAGGAAAGGAUAAUAAAAUCAAGUGUUUCAAAAAAUAAAAAUAAAAAUAAAAAUACAAGGCCAAAAUAUUAAAAUAAUUCAAAUUCUACAAAACUUUUUUUUCCUUUUUUUGCAUCAAUCAACCUAAUAAACUAUUUAAAGUGAUUCAAUCAGCUUAUUUCCAUCACAUUCCAUCAAAAUCUUCGAUUAAGUUAACUGGAAAUCUAUUCAGAAUGUCAAGUACGAGCAAUUGUCAGGGAUAAAAUUGACAUUUCUUCUCAUUUCAAUCUUCAUUGUCAAAUGACAUGCAUAAUUACUGAUAAUCAAUUAAUUAUUAGGAUGUCCAUAUUCUAGUAGGACGAAAUAAUAAAUAUCAGCUCUAUUGAGACCCUUUAUGACAAUUCUAAGUUGUAAAACAAUAACAAACGGAAAAAAAAUACGAAAAGACCAAGAAAAACGACUAUCCUAAAAUACAAAAGCUGAAAGGGAAAUCACAUACCCUAAUACUAUAAUAUUACUACUUUUUUUUUCCUUUCGUAUUUAAGUACGAAAUACAUCAGCCUGAAAAAUCAAUUGUCCGUGCAGGUUGGAGACAUUGUAUCUUAUUCUCUAUUUUCCUUUUUUUUAAUAUCAUAAUCACUAUCUUUCAACACCGAAAAAGAAAAAGAAUAAAAGAAAAGGAGGCAAAUGAUAUUCUAUUUAACCAAAAGGAGAGAAAAGUAAAAAAAAAAUGGAGAUCAUAUGAGGGACGAAAGAGGUUACGAGGCAAAGAGAAGGAAGCAGGGUUGACAAGAACAAUAAAUACUACCAUAUUUCUUAACGGCUCCAAGAUAUUGAGGAAUAACUCUUGGUACGAUGCUUGGAUUGGGCUUCUGUGUACAGGGUCGACAUCUCUUUGAAGUCUCCAUGGAGCAGCUUGUAAGGGUUUCCCCGGAAACCUUGCUCUUUCAGACGUUUCUCCAGCUUCUUCGGCCUAAACCAUACCCAGUUCAAAGCUUUCCAUGAUACUGCUACUACCAGAAGAAGAAGAAGACAAGAAGAAUACACAGUAAACAUUGAGACAUAGGUGGUUUCCAUGUUGUGUUUUUGUUUUGUUGGUUUUCUUGUGAGAUUUCUACCUUUGUUGUGUGCAUAUUUAUAAUAAUGCAAGCACAUAAAUCUUAAUAAGCAAAUUACCAUCCAAACAAACAUAGAAACUAGAUGACCUAUGCCAUGACGAUGGCAGAUAAUCUUUCUCCAGGAAAAAUCCAAGCUUUGUUUUCUUUCCAGGUAUGUUAAAUUUAUCCUUAAAUAUAUUGAUAGGUUGAAAUUUUAUCAUUUAUUGUAGGGGUGGGCAAAAAAAUCCGAAAAUCCGAAAAACCGAGAGAUCCGAUCCGAUCCGCACCGAAAAAUCGGAUACCUGAUCCGAUUUCAAUCAGCGGAUCAAAUAGGGUCGGGUACCCUAAAUAUUCGGAUACGGAUACGGAUCGUGAAAGUGAAAACCCACGGGUACUCGACCCGGAGGUAUAAUAUAUAAAUAUUAAAAAUAUAGGGGUAAUUGUAUAAUAUUUUAAGUUAUUAACCCUAAGUUCCUAAGCUAAAUCAAUCCAUCGGUCAUCCAUUCAGAGUUUAGCCUCAGCUUCAGCCGACACUCUUCUGUCUUCACUCAUUUCAUUUUCUUCUUCUGCUUCCCGACCUCCUUUCUCCAUCUCUUCAAUUUUGUCAAGUUGAACUCAAGCCUGCAAGCCUCAGCCCUCAAGUAGAUGAUUCAACAGAGUGUUUCGAUUUCGAUUUCUCAAGCCUCAAGCAGAAGCUGUAAAACGCCGACCUUCUUUAUCUGCAGGUUUGGACCUUCUUUAAUUGAUGGCUAUCCAGCUCCUUCAGGUGAUGGUGUAUAUUACGUGUAGGUUUGGACCUUAUUAAAAUUUUGGUUGGAGUGAUUACAGUACACUACUCCUUGCUCGAUGCUAGGAGGUAGGAAAUUGUUGUUACAAUUAGGGGUGGCAAUUUUCGACACGACCUGAAAACACGACACGAACCUAACAUGAAAUUAAUGGGUUUGGGUUGAGGUUUUGGGAAUUCGGGUCAGAAUCGGGUUGGACCCGAGGAACCCGAAAAGAAAACAGGUCGAUUUCGGGUCAACCCGUGGUGACCUGAUAUGACCCGAUAUGACCCGUUUACGAAUUAAAAAUAAUUUAAUAAAUAUAAAAAUAAUUUUAUCUAACUAACCUAAGUUAUUCUUUUUUUCAAAGGCAUUAAUUACUUAAUCAUAAAUGAAUUUAUUUAAGUUGUAUGAAGUUGAAAUUAUUAUAUUUGGACAAAUAAUAUAUUAUAUUAUUUUUUACUUUUAUACUGUUUUAAUUUAUUUUAUAUUUUGUUUGGGAUAAAACACUUUUACGGUGUUUAAUUUAUUUUAGAUUUGGUUUGGAAUUACUUAUUUAAAUUUUUAUUACUUGAUUAUGUAAUUAGUUUUGUGAGAAAUUGAUUUUAUUAGAAAUUACAGUGAUAAAUUAAUAAAUUAAAAUUAAGUUUCGGGUCAUUUCGGGUCGACCCGCCAACCCGUCAACCUGAAAUUUUCGGGUUCGGGUCAGCAUACCUGACCCGUCACUGGUUGGCGGGUCGGGUUCGGGUCAACAGAUUUUCUGACGGGUUGACCCGAACCCGACCCGCCAACCUGAUUUGGACCCGAAUUGCCACCCCUAGUUACAAUACCUCUUUUGGUGGCUUUCUAUAUUCUUGGCACUUCCACUUCUUGUGUUAAUACUGCUUUGACACAAUACCUCUGUUUAGGUCCCUGUUAUGUGUUUGGCAAUUCUCCAGCUCCACUCUGUUCCUUACACAAUCAAUCUGUUUUGUUAAUCAUUUUGGUUACGCACUUCAGGCAGUUGCUUUUGGUUUUUGAUAGGGUACUCCGUGACUCUGGCCUUCCUACUUAAUACUACUGUGCCAUAAUACAGAGUGGUCAGGGGUUGAAGUACCAUUCCCUAAUGAUGCAAUUAUCUUUUCUUUAAUUUGUUUGUGUUUACUUUUAAUAGCUAUCCAGUGAUUGCAAAAUGCAAAACAUACUACAGAUAUGUAUGCGUAUCAAACCCAAACGAGCUAGUAUAUAACCAGAGAAUGAAUAAUGUUUUCCUAUUGGAAUUGUGGAAUUGGUUUAAAGCAAUUUAUAGAUUGAAAAUUGGGGCGGGUACCCUAUGACCCGCCCCUAUUUUUCGGGUAUCCGAGGAUCGGGUACCCGAGGGAGAUCGGAGCGGAUUAGGGUCAAAAAAAUAGUGACCCGACAUGUUAGGGUUGGGUCAGCCAAUUACCGUUCGGGCCGGGUACCCGACCCGUGUCCACCCCUAAUUUAUUGUAUUAUUAAUUUCCCCCUAUUAUCUGACACGAUGUGAAUUAAUUGUUAGAUUCAACUCACUUUUGAUAUUUUAUAUUUAUUUCAGAAAGUAAAACGAAAAUACCAUAAUAAGCGCCAGUUCGACAGUCAUCAUAAAAAAAGAGUUCAACCCCAGGAGCAUUUUUGGAAAAGGGAAAGUUUUUCCCCUUUUGAUACCUGCCGAAGAUGUAGGAGGCGAAAAAACAAGCUGGACUCUCAUCUUUUUCUUCCUAGGGGUAGCCGCAAAGUAGCAGUAGUAUUUUAGAUAGGAAAUAGGAUGCAGAGAAGGAGCACAACGGAAACUUAGCCUUUGACUUUUCUUUUCGUCUUUAGCUGCUUUUCUUUUUUCCGUAGGAGUAGACAAGUUGAAGACCAAAAACAAACCAAUGAAUCAACCUCUGUAGCUUGGGUUUUUCAUCCUUAUUCUACCGCAAUUGAAUUUACUCAAUCAAGACGGUGUCGUGAAUAUUUACUUCUGAACUCUCGCGUGGGUCUUUUGCAUUGGGAAUGAACUAAAUUCCCUUUUCUAGUUAAAAAAUAAUGGAUAUUUUGAGUCGCCUAAAAUUAUGAGAUCGAUUUAAUUUUAUCUUUUCUCGUAUUUAUUGGUAUUUACAUAUUCUCCGAUUGCAGUGCUUAUGGUUAUUUAAUUAAUUGAUUAUCUUGGAUCCGGAUAGUGGAUUGAUUUAGUAACCUAUUGUCAAUUAGGGUAUUAAUUCCGUAAUUGUUUAAUUGCCUUGAAAUAGUAACAACUGGCAUGAUUGGAUUUGUGUCAGGAGAAUACGUGGGUUAAUCUAAAAUAACCCUGGUAAUGCGUCAUUCGAUUAGAAUAGGGAUCAUCUAUUACGUAAGACAAUUGGGGAAUUAAAUCUUAUGGGCGUAUUUAGGAUUAUUUCUCAAUUAGAGCAGUGAUUAACGGGCGUACCUUAAUCACCGACACAGUAAGGAGAGGUUGACUAUCAUUGCUUGUUUGGCAGUUAUAACCUAUUUAUUAGUAAAUAAUUGGAAUUGCUUGUGUAACGAUGAUCAAUUAGGUGAACCAUUGCUGAAAUUAUUUCUUGGCUAGACCUUUAAUUAUUAUUACCUUAAUUUUAGUGAAUUGUCAUUUAAUUUUUAGUUGACUAUUUUAUUUUUAGUUGAGUUGCUUUAAUUACCAUACUUUAUACAAAAACAUCCCUCGUGUUACUUUGGAUUUCAAAAGAGAUAAAUAUCCCCAGUCCCUGAGGAUAAUACCCUACUUGUCCUAUUUACAAUUAAUAAUUAUUUGUGAAAAAGUCAUCCCAUUCGGAUAUAUCGGAUCAAGUAAACUCUUCGGGAACAGGGUGAAUCAAGUAACCUAUUGCACACCUAGAGUCCCUGCUCCAGUACUUGAAAUCGAGUUUUGGUUACUUUAAUUGACAAUUAGAUUUAUUUUUCUUAUUGUACAGGCAUCGACAACCUGUCAUAUAUCUAAGCCCUUUAUGUUUUGAGCACUUUAAUCCAAACUGUAUUUUCAUCCUGUCGUGGGAGCUCAGCUAAAAUAUGAUAUUUGUGAGGUGAAAAAUAAGUUAAUAAAUUAAAACCAGAAUUCAUAAAGUCAAUUAGGUCGGUCAACGGGCCGGAUUCGAGUCGAAAUUAAUAAAUCUGGACUCGAACCCGAACCCGUCAUACUAUAUUAGUUCCGGAUCCGACCCAAAUAUCUGACGGGUCUCCUAAUCUUUCCCCCGGAUCCGGGUCAGGCCUACUUGAAAAAAGACCCGUCAAAAGCCAUUUUUUGCUACAACUUCAGAACCUGCAAAUGUAGUCUGAUUUUUAUAACAUUUUGUACAUAUUUAGGGAGGACUUGGUGGCACACAAGCCUUUGCGAAAUCAGGGGAGUUAGUUAAUUUGCUGAAGAAGCAGAAUCCAAACUUUUCUUGCCGAAAAAUACAAAUGAAAGAUGUUUUGCAGUAAAUUACAAAGUUAUUCAAAGCCAAUCACAAACUUAAAUCACAAAUUACAAAUCUAAAUCACAAACCACCCACAUGAGUAUCCCCUGCCAUUUUUUUUUUGCAAUGCUUACAUAUGGCAACAAUACCAGUAGCAGUCCUAACUCUAUCCAUAUCAAACCAUACUUUAGAUGUUAAUUUCUUUCCCUGGGUUUCUUACAUGAAUCAUCUUCCUUCACAUUCUCCUCUUCCGAAUCCAAAAUGGCAACCUCAUUCUCAUCAGCUGUGCUACUUGGUCCUGUUGGAUUACUUGGCAAAGAUGACACCCUGUAAUUAGUGAAUAACAGAAUUUAUUAGAUAAACAUGGUACAAGUUUAAAGGCUUUUUCAGAAUUUACCAAAUACUGCUGUGGAUAUGUGGUGCCUCUCAAGUUGAGAGUCUCAACAGUCCAACUAAUACAUGGAGUUUAUUUGAACACCUCGUGUGGCUGAAGCCCAAUUAAGUUGGGUUUUUUUUCUUUUGAAAACAAAUUAAGUUGGUUAAAAGCAUAAUUAGUAUGGAUCAAGCAUUUGUUGUCGACCAGACCUGUUUAUCUUAUUUGUUUUUGUAAAAAUGAGUCGAUAAUAGGAAGAGUAUUUUUGGAUUAAAAGUUUAUGAUCAAAUCCAAAAAUACUAAUAAUAAUAACAGGAAGAAAGACGUAGAAUUAUUUAAAAAAUUUUCAAUUAGCCUACGAGUCAAGUGUCCUGAUUCAUGCAAAAAGUUCAUCACAUCCAAACUGUGACUAAAAAAAAAAAUUUGUACCCCACAAGAUCGUUUUGGCCAUUUUUCUCCCAAUGAAAAUGGAAUUAAAAAGAAAGAAAAAUUAAGUAAAUCCUACAGUCUGGAACCAAGAUACCAAGUAUCUUCCACUUAUAAGAAUAAUAGCUAAUCACAGACACCAAGUUGUCUUAAAAUUUUCCCUCAAUUCGUCCAUUUGUUCCCAGGAAUUCAUGAAUUGUGAAGGAGAAUCAAAACCCAUCACUGAAGUUUCAAUAUUUAGCACAAUUUAGUAGACACAAAUAACAAACUGCUACUCAUAUUCACGGUCCUUAAAUUGCAAAGUAGCUGCUGUCUUUGACCAAACUUAUAAACAAACUUUUUGACCGUUUUCGACAAAGACAAAAUACCAGAAUGGAGGCUUUCACCUCACCAUGAUUUUUACAAAUUCUUACGGUAUUGAAAAAAAAAAAAAAUCUGUCACUAUAAGAAAGAGAGCUGGGUUGCUAGAAGCUUGGAAAAGCUGGGCUUCUUUGGAGUUGCAACCGUCAAGCGUCAGAGAUGAAGAGAGCGUCGCCGGUUUCACGGCGGACUAGCGGAGGUAGAGCAAAAAAGAAAAGAGAAAAGAGAGUAAGAGGGAAUAAGGGAUGUGCGGCGGCGGGGUAUUAGGGUUGGAAAAAUUUGGGAAUGAAAGAAGUAGUAAUGUAGUAUUGAUAUGAUAGAUUGGUAUAUAUUUUUUAAUUAUUAAUUAAUUAAAACGAGUUCGGGUCGGAUAGGGGUUGGAAUAUAUAUCCCGUAUCCGACCCGCUUUUUGUUAGAUAAAAUGGAUCCGAAUUCGGGUCCGGAUCACGAAUCUAUAUACCUAUUCAUAACUGGAAAAUGUUGGUGGGUCUCGGGUCCAGACCAUUGACAGUCCUAAAGUCAACAUACAAGAUGGGAUAAAUUAUGAUAAAUUACUAUACGAGUCCAUUGUUCUAAAAUUUUAUCACACAAUCCCUCUAUUAUUCCACAAUAUCCAAUUGAUGCCCCGUGACUUUGUGUAAAAUUCAUAUUAGCCGAAAAGCAAGACCUAAUAAAUUACAAAGGAAUGUGCAUAGUUGUUUUAAAUUUGAAUAGCUCAUUAGUCGUCUCAAUGGUUUAUUAUUCUUAUUUUCUAAAAUAAAUUUGAAGACUAAAACUUUUAAGGAGAGUUAGAUGUCUUUAAAUGGAAAGUACGUGUAGAAAGAUAAAAAGGAGUAUUGGAGUACUUGCAAAUGGCAACAAAAUAGGGAACAAAUCAAAAUGAAUUGUUAUUCAAGAAUCAUAGAGAGUUCCAAAAACAAAUUUUUUUUUGAGAGCAAGCAAAUUAAUUAAGUUGUUACAUGGUAGUCCUUUUUAAGUAUAGAGCAAAACUAUGGCCCUUUGAGUGGAGUGGUUUUUACCAAUUUGGCUAAGCUUUGCAAUUGCUAUGCUCAAUUUUGUUGUCGAUUUCAUGUGACUAUUUAAAAUUGGCAUGCCAUAAAGGCCGAAGAGUGGGAAUUGCUAUAUUAAAAUUUUAUAGUUUCGAUUAAACUUCGUAUUACCGUCUCAAAGUAGAGAAAAUGAGCAUAUCACUAACAGCAAAAUGAGGUUAACAUAUGCAUUUCAUUUUUUUUCCUAACAGGGGAGGUAUGGGGGUUUAAGAAGUAGCGAGGGAAAAAGGGAGAUUAUAACCUAAAAACUCUAUAUUUAGGGUCUCAACCUUCAAAUUUAGUCACUAAGCCAAUGUCUUCUCGACGCAUAUUCAUUUCAUUUGAUGAUUCUAAGUGGCCUUGCAGUGGAUAGUUAAUCAGAGCUGGACUAUGACCUUAACCCUCAUUUGGAAAAAAAUUUAGCUUUAAUUAUUUAAUGUAUUCAAAAUUGCAUUCAAGGCUGCAAUCAAAUUGACAUCACAAUUCGAUCUAGGUUACGGUGCAGCCAUUGCCAGUUGAAUCAUAGGCAUAUUUUGUAUUUACGAUCUCGAUUGUUAUGAAAAAGAAGUCAGAAUCGGCUUUGAAAUCCAUUCUUAAUUGUUUCUAGCAGAAAAAAGAAGAAUGAGAAAAUAUUUUGGACCCACAUUAGAGCACAUCUAUGUCGAGUAACUACAUAGUAUUGCUAGCCAAGAAAAAUAAAAUGAAGAUUUAAAACGCCACGUUAACUGCCUUGUCUUUUAUUUCCCCACUAUUUUGUUAUCUUAAAUUGAUAUUACAACAAUCAUUAUAACAUUUUAAACGAUAAUAACAAUAUAUAUAUAUAUAGGUAAUCAUAUUUUUCACACAUUUCCUCAGAGUUGGAUUAUGCAACGGUCAAACCACAAUAUUCUAAAAGUUUUGGUCUUAAAAGUCAUUCUUCUUUUAUUUGACUAAUUCUUCCUGCCGGCCUACUUUUCUUCCGCCUAAAAUUGCUCCCCACUUGUUCGUAUUCUUCUUAUGUUCUAUUCCGCGACCUUUUCCAUUUCCUACAUUGUUAAGCCGUGGAACGAAUUGCGAGCCUGCAAUGUUCAAAAUAUCAAUCUUCAAAUAACUUCAUAGCAAAUUAAACAAAGAUUGAUAACAAGAUUUCUUGUUUUACAGUUUCUUCAAGAUCAAAUGAGCUCCAUACUGGGGUUGAAGAGUGAGCACAACUUGAGGAGCAUGUGCAUAACUCGGCGAAAGCUCCCAAGAAAAGCGCCGUAAGAUCAAAGCCAGCGCCAUCUUUGCUUCCAGCAUAGCAAAAUUUUGCCCCAUGCAAGUUCGAGGUCCCCAACCAAAUGGAAAGAGCGAGAGAUUGCCUUUUGUAGCCUUUGAAACUCCCUCACUGAAUCUUUCUGGAUUAAAUUCCUUCGCAUCAUCACCCCACAAGUCUUUGUCCUGCUGCAGCAAGACUCGGGCCACAAAGAUGAACAUUCCUUCUGGCAGUGACAGUUCGCCUAAUUUAGUUUCUUCGGGAAUCAUUCGAAAAAGCAUCGCUGCCGGUGGAUAUAGCCUUAGAACCUCGUUAAGGAUCAUAGUAACCUUCGAAAAAUAAACGUAAACAGAACAAUGAUUAGUGGUGAUUGGAUCAACUAUCAAAAAAGUGCUAAGAUGGGAACAUAAUUUUGCAAGUUAUACUUACAAUUUUGAGGUGAUUUAAUUUACUAAUAUCAGGUUCAUUGUUGUCAAAAACCUGUAGAACCUCAUCUCUGGCACGAGCCUGCCAAUCAAAAUGUUGACUCAAUAAAAUUAAUGUCCAGGCGAGCAAUCCUGAGGUUGUCUCUUGUCCAGCCAAAUAGAAUAGCUUGCACUCCUCAAUGACUUCUUCAAGGCUCAUGCAGUUCUUAUUUCCAUGUUGUCGGAUCUCAUUAAAAUUGGAUUCCAAUAAAAUACGCAACAAGUCAUCACUUGUAGCUUCACCUGUUUGAAUUUCCUUCAGCCUUUCGUUGAUAUUGCCCAUAACUAAUGAGUUUACUUCCUUGAAAAUCUUCUGCAUUCUUUUGUUUCUUUCUGUUGGCACAAAACUGAAUGCAAAAUAGCAAUAACCAAAUAAGCUAAAUGAUACAAUUACAAACUAGAAAUUGAAAGACAGUACCGUACCUCCACCCUGGAAGGCAAAUGGAUUGCAUAACUUGCUCAAUAUACAAAGCCUGUUCUCUUUGGAGUUCAAAGAUCCUUCGCCCUUUUUCAUGGUUGCUACCAAAAGCUGUUCUUGAAAUUACAUCACCAGUAAAUGUUUGAAGAUAAGGCCACACAUCUAAUUCAAAAGAUCCUUCUGCGGGGGCAAGGUUCUCCCAUUUGCUUAACAUCUCAUUACAACUCAGAUAAAAUGCUGGCACCAUGUACUAUAUGUGAAGAAUCAACAGCGCAAGUCUUCCAGCUUUUAUGUUCUUCAUUAAUCAAAAAGUAAGAAUGGAAAUAUUAUUCAGUGAAAUUUUAAAAUUGGAAAGGCUGCAUUUGGUUCUCUAUCCGGACUAGAUUGGAACCAUAACUACAUUUAUAUGAUGCAAUACCAAACACUAGCCAGUCCCAUGUCUGAUAAAUAACAAGAAACGGCCAAAAGCGUGUAAGAUAUUGAAACAGCACCAAAUUUCAGCAGAAAAAGCUAGAAACAACCUUCAAUUUCUCUACAUGAAAUGCAGGAUUCAAUAAUCUUCUGUGUUUGGCCCAUUUUUCUGUAUCCAGGCUAGCAAGUCCUAGUGCUAGAAGUUUACUGAAUGGAUUUGCCCGAGGCUUCUGAUAAGUAAAAUAUUUUGCGAAGACCUCCUUUACUUGUUCAGGAUCCAAGAUAACCAUUGCCGGCCUUGGUCCAAGCCAAAAAAAGCUAUUUUUACCUACAAAAUAAUUUUUGAUAAGCAACUUAUCCACUCUUUAAAAAAAAAGAUUGGGUCAACCCAUAUAUGAAAUGCAUGAUUGCCGAAAAACACAGCAAACCAAAUAGUCUUCGGGCAAAUUUGGAGAACAAACCUUUAUGUUGCAUUGUUUCAUUGAUGAAGGGCAUGAUUCUAGGCAAGAUAUCAUCUGUUAAAGAAAUUGGUUUGGACUUAGCCUCCUCAAGCAUCCUUCCCAUGUCUCUGGUGUCUCCAAACAAGAACCCGUAAGAGUUUCCCUGUAGACCUUGCCGCCUGAGGCGUUUCUCCAUCUUCUUUGGUGUGAUCCAAGCCCAAUUCAAGAAUCUCCAUGCCCCGAUGAGAAGAACUAUGACUGAUGAAGCUCCAAUCGAGCUAUAGAAAAAUUCCAUUUUCUCUGAUGCGCUUCCACUCCUUCAGUCAAACUUUCUGCUGGCAGGGGGAACUUGCUAAGCGGUUAGUUAUUAAGGACGGAGAACCUCAACUUUGGGACACAUCAUUCUGAAAUCUAUGCAUAUCCAUCUGUAAAAUCGGUAAAGACAAAGUAGCUAUAAGUCAUAAUUUGUGCUAAAUUUAUAAUUAUUUUUUCCUUUGAUUUUAAUCAAAUAUUAUUUUAAUUGAUAUAUUCUACUAAUAUUUGGUAUUUGGGAUUAAUUGCAGGAAGUGGUGAAGAAAAAGUACCGAAAAUCGUCAUUCCAGCAGAUUUCCUAUAGUUUGGCGUGCCCACGCCUAACUCCAGCUUUGACGGAUUUUCGGGAUGAUUUGCACACGCGAAAGCUUCCAAAACUAAAUAAAGCAGCGGACUACAAUGCUGAAAAGCAGUGGGGCCAUUUCAAAAGCUGAAGAAAGCUAUCUAUAAUAGGAUUCCUAUUGUUUAGGAAAAUCGGUACAUUUUGAAGGAGAGAAAUCAGGAUGGGAAUCUGUUUGUUCUCUCGGUGGGCCUGGCCUAAAAGGAAAUGGAUUUCCUUCAUCCCUUUGAGUGGCUAAAAACGUAGAGGAUUAGGAGACUUAGGGAGGCUUGUCUUUAAAUUUGUUUUUACUUGGAAAAGCUGGGGGGAAGGUACGGAGGUCGGGGACUUUUCCUCGUAGCCGACUUUUACUUUUCUUCCUUGGCCGAUUUGGCCAGGAACAAUUUGGUAAGAUUCAGAUAGCUUUUUCGCAUGGUUGUUCUCCGUUAAUGGAGAACUAACCUUCUAAUUCUAGUCAAAGGACAACUGAAGAUUUGGUUCUGUAAUUACUAUGAGAUCGAAUUUAUUUUAAUCGCUUUCUCAUUUAUUGGUAUUUAUAUGAUUCCUGUUUUUAAUUGUUAUAACUCUUGUGUAUGAUUGAUUAGUGCGCAAUAAUUAAUUAUUCAUAUAGGUUAUUUUGCUAAAUAGGGGUAAUUGAAUCCGUAAUUGUUCGUUACCUCUAUCCCAGUAGCAAUUGGCGUAAUUGGGUUUAUGUCAGGGAAACAUACGAUCUAAUUUAAACAAAUCCUCUUAGCGUGUUUGUAGGUUAGGAUUGGGCCUUUCUAAUUUUUAAUGCAAUCUAGAAAUUAAAUCCUACGGUCGUACCUAGGAUUGUUUUUGGGUUAGGGAAAUAGUUAACGGUCGUACCUUAGCUAUCGAUAAAUUAAGGAAGGGUUGGUUGUUUAUCGCGUGCAUGACAACUAUAACCAAUCUAUUAAUAAAUGUGGAAUUAUCUGCGAAUCGAUGAUCAGUGCAUGAACCAUUUCUGAAGUGUACCCUUGACUAGAGUUUCUUUUACUUAUUUCUCUUAAUCAAUUAUUUUCUGCAGUUAAUUUAUUUAGUUAGUAUUUGAUCCAAAAACCCCCAUACUUUGGACUCUAGAAGAAACGAAUUAUUCCCAGUCCCUGUGGAUUCGACCCUACUCACCGCUAUAUACAAAAUCUGUAUUUUUCUCGAGUAGGUUUUUAUUAUUGCACAGGUUCGGCACCUGUCAGUAGCUUGAAGGUAUGUUCUAUGUUUACGGCAUCUGCAUAAAUGGAGAUGCUCUGCGACUUCAACACUCACCUAUAAAGGACAUUUGAGCCCUUAAUAUUCUUGUUUAUGGUAAAAUGAUUUUUCUACUCGUUCACUUAAAUUACGCUUAAUUUACUAUAUGAACACACAUAAUACAAUUAUUAUAUCCUCUGUAUUUAAACGCUUUCCUAGUAACUACACUUUUUUUUUAAAAGAAAAAUUAGCACUCUUGAGGCCCCCCUAACAGAGGUGACGAUAAAGGAGAACAAAUCAACAUAGCUCGAUUAUCCUGCAAGCCUCGCAAAUCAUCAUCAGAAGUCUUUUUCUAUCUGCCUUCUAGAAGAGAGUCAGUUCAAUAAACAAAGUGCCCUAAUGUAAUAGAUGCAGAUUAGGAGUAUCAAAGUCUUUUUCAUUUAAAAAUAGCAAGAGAAAUUCAAGGGUUUGCAAAUUAGCUAAACAAAGUGCUGCAAAUUGAUAGCACAAGGUACAGAGGUCCUAAAACUGAUAAUUGAAGAUAGUUUAGGGGAAAAUGUUGCAAUAAGCUUUGGAUGUAAUUUUAAAUACUUGAGCAUGAGAAGGUCGCAUGUUACAGUCUUGACUCUCAAUGGUUUGGAAACAAAAAGAUCAAUGUGAAAUUUGUUUUUGAUCAACUGCAUCCUCUAAUGCGGUUCAUUAAUAAACAUAAUAAGAAAUCCCAGAACAUUAACAUUUGUCCUUUUUAACCUAUUAACAUUAAUACUUUGCAAAAUAGCAAUAACUCCAAAAUCUUCUUGUAAUUGCACCAAAAGUUUGUUAAACCUUACAGAAGCAGCAACCUAAAAGGCUAGCAAGAUAAGCAACAUGUAGCAAUUACAGAAGUUCAGUCACAUAAUCAAUAACACACAGACAUAGUUCAAGUCCUGGAUUCAGAUAACAGUUUUAUAUUACAGUUUCUUCAUAAUCAACUGAGCACCAUACUGAGGUUGAAGCAGGGUACGAAACAAGUAUGGGGCAUGCGUAUACAAUGGAGAAAGCUCAAAGGAAAAGCGCUGUAAAAUUAGAGCUAAUGCCAUAUUUGCUUCAAGCAGAGCAAAGUUUUGCCCAAUGCAUAUCCGAGGUCCCCCACCAAAUGGCAGAAAACACUGCUGGCCCUUAGUAGCCUUUGCAACUCCCUCGCUAAAUCUCUCCGGGUUGAAUUCCUUUGCAUCAUCACCCCAUAAACUUGGAUCAUGAUGUAGCAAGAUUGAAGGCAUCAAGACAAUCAUUCCAGCAGGUGGAGAUAGUUCCCCUAAUUUAGUGUCUUGGUUAACCCUCCGGGAAAUCAUAACUCCUGGUGUAUAUAGUCUUGGAACCUCAUUAAGGAUCAUAGUCACCUGUAAAAGAAGAAUUACAAACCGAUGCUUAAAUGGAGUGUGAACUUCGUUCCAAGAGAAGAAAAUUGUAAGAUAAGUAUCCAGACAAUGUCAACUAAUAGCUGGUCCCUACUAGAAAGCAGAAACAUUACACUACACUCGGAUAUCGUUGUGCUUCAGGUAAUGGCAAAAGUAAAACGUGUCCUGAGUGAAUGGAAUGUUAAGCUAUGAUAUUCCUUAUGAAGUCUUCUGCAUCCGAACCCACGAAACUAAUUAUUCAUCAAAAGAGAACCUAAAAAACAAGUCUGAAAUGUGGCCAACAUUCAUGAUAUUCGAGUUUAGUCACUGCAGAUUGGUGAUACAAAACUGAAAUUCUUGAAUAAUAUCAAACUAUUCUGUCAUCAGAGCUUAUCCUCUUGAUAAAUUGAAGCUACUUACAAUUUUCAGCCAAUUUAAAUCUUCAAAAUCCGGUAUAUUGUUGCCAAAGACCUGAAGAACCCAUCCCUAGCACGAGCUUGCCAGUCUGAAUGCUUGCUCAACAAAAUUAGCGUCCACACAAGCAGGAUUGCAGUUGUCUCAUGUCCAGCAAAAAAGAAUAGCUUGCACUCCUGAAUGACCUCUUCAGAAGUCAGUCCAAACCUUUCAUUCCCAUGUUCUUGGAUCUCCUUGAAGUUGGGUUCUAGAAGUAAACCCAACAAGUCACUAUGAAAAUUUUCUUCAUAUUUUUUGUUUCUUUUACGGAAUAUCUAGUAAUGUGAUAGGACGAUUUUCUGCAGCAAAUCAGCCUUGGAUUGAUCUCUUUAUAGAUUAAGAGAUGUCACAUGUUGGUUAUAAUCAUCCAAGUGAUGACCUCUCAUUACUAAAGGAGUUACUUCUAUUCUAAUAGUACUUUAAUGAUUAAUUGUAGUACUUCACACUUGAAUGAACAGCCACAAAUUUUGUUAUUUUGUGAACCUUGAGACCUUUCAUCUUUUGAAAAUCUCCAACAAAUUCAUGGUGAUUAAAAAUUUUGCAAAUAAAGUCAACUCAACUGAGAUAAUUAGAUUCUCUGUAGUUUAAUUUCUUCAACAAAUGUUUGACCAGGAAGAAAAAAUGGUGAGUAUAGCCUUAAAACCUCAUGCAAGAUCAUUGUGAUAUGUGAGAAAUGGAAGGAGACUACUUAAGACAAUUUAUUGGCAUAUGAGAAGCUGCAACCUAUCAUGAGUUGACUUAUAUCUUUUAGGUUAAAAGUUCUUUUACGUACAAUAUGCCAUGGAUUUUGGUAUAUAAUUGACUGAAAAUCUUUUAGGUUAUACAGACCAUCAAAUUGUGAUAUUUUUGGUCCCAGCAAUGUGUUGCAAAAUCUAUUCUCUAGCACGUUCUUGCUAGUCUGGGCAGAUGCUGAAUACAACAGCUUACACUCUUCAAUAAUUUCUCUUGUAAUCGCACAGAAUUUCGUCUUGUCUAAGCUGCAUUGGAGAUCCACUUACCACGAAGAAAUAUUUUUGAAUACUAGCUAAUAAGAUUUACAGACUACUGAUUAAUGUUUGAGAACAGCUGUUAAAUGAUUUUAAGCCAUGACAAGCCAUUUGUUUUCUCCAUUAUCAAAGAAAAAGGAAAGAUCUCUUGCAAAAUUAAACAAGCAGAUGUAAUAUUUCUCUCUUAAUUUGCCGUGAGAAAUACAUUACGUGAAUCUGUACUGCUAUAUUCAUACAGAUCCAUUGACAUACCGAACUGGGCGGGACUUAAACUAGUUUACAAGCAAAGUUAAGCAUAGAAGAUGGUGCUUUAUUUCGUUAAAAGAUAAUCUGCUGCCACAUACCGGGCUAGCAAGUCAAGUCAUAUAUAUGAAACAACAAAAACUAUAUUAUCUUCUGCAAAAUCAAGUGAGCUCCAUACUGGGGUUGAACUACUGCUGUAGCUCUUCCAGGAGCAUGAGUAUAAGAUGGUGAGAGUUCAAAGGAGAAGCGAUGCAGAAUCAUAGACAUUGCCAAUUUU
rnacentral:lncRNA from 1 species